UGCUCGAGUGGCGAACGGGUGAGUAACACGUGAGUAACCUGCCCUUGACUUUGGGAUAACUUCAGGAAACUGGGGCUAAUACCGGAUAGGAGCUCCUGCUGCAUGGUGGGGGUUGGAAAGUUUCGGCGGUUGGGGAUGGACUCGCGGCUUAUCAGCUUGUUGGUGGGGUAGUGGCUUACCAAGGCUUUGACGGGUAGCCGGCCUGAGAGGGUGACCGGCCACAUUAGGACUGAGAUACGGCCCAG
rnacentral:rRNA from 1 species